rnacentral:rRNA from 1 species
UUGAACGCUGGCGGCAGGCCUAACCCAUGCAAGUCGCGCGGAUGAAGGGAGCUUGCUCCUGGAUUCAGCGGCGGACGGGUGAGUAAUGCCUAGGAAUCUGCCUGGUAGUGGGGGAUAACGUCCGGAAACGGGCGCUAAUACCGCAUACGUCCUGAGGGAGAAAGUGGGGGAUCUUCGGACCUCACGCUAUCUGAUGAGCCUAGGUCGGAUUAGCUAGUUGGUGGGGUAAAGGCCUACCAAGGCGACGAUCCGUAACUGGUCUGAGAGGAUGAUCAGUCACACUGGAACUGAGACACGGUCCAGACUCCUACGGGAGGCAGCAGUGGGGAAUAUUGGACAAUGGGCGAAAGCCUGAUCCAGCCAUGCCGCGUGUGUGAAGAAGGUCUUCGGAUUGUAAAGCACUUUAAGUUGGGAGGAAGGGCAGUAAGUUAAUACCUUGCUGUUUUGACGUUACCAACAGAAUAAGCACCGGCUAACUUCGUG